rnacentral:rRNA from 1 species
ACCUACGGGACGCAGCAGUGAGGAAUUUUCCGCAAUGGGCGAAAGCCUGACGGAGCGACGCCGCGUGAAGGAUGAAGCUUUUCGGAGCGUAAACUUCUUUUAUGUGGGAAGAUUAUGACUGUACCACAUGAAUAAGCACCGGCUAACUACGUGCCAGCAGCCGCGGUAAUACGUAGGGUGCAAGCGUUAUCCGGAAUUACUGGGCGUAAAGAGUGCGUAGGUGGUUUUUUAAGUUAGAUGUUAAAUAUGCAGGCUCAACUUGCAUGCCGCAUCUAAUACUGGAAGACUUGAGAGUGGAAGGGGCAGACGGAAUUUAUGGUGGAGCGGUAAAAUGCGUAGAUAUCAUAAAGAACACCCAUGGCGAAGGCAGUCUGCUGGGACAUUUCUGACACUGAGGCACGAAAGCGUGGGGAGCGAUCGGGAUUAGAUACCCCUGUAGUCC